rnacentral:rRNA from 1 species
UGGGGAAUUUUGGACGAAUUGGGCGAAAGCCUGAUCCAGCAAUGCCGCGUGUGUGAAGAAGGCCUUCGGGUUGUAAAGCACUUUUGUCCGGAAAGAAAUCCUUGGCUCUAAUACAGUCGGGGGAUGACGGUACCGGAAGAAUAAGCACCGGCUAACUACGUGCCAGCAGCCGCGGUAAUACGUAGGGUGCAAGCGUUAAUCGGAAUUACUGGGCGUAAAGCGUGCGCAGGCGGUUUGCUAAGACCGAUGUGAAAUCCCCGGGCUCAACCUGGGAACUGCAUUGGUGACUGGCAGGCUAGAGUAUGGCAGAGGGGGGUAGAAUUCCACGUGUAGCAGUGAAAUGCGUAGAGAUGUGGAGGAAUACCGAUGGCGAAGGCAGCCCCCUGGCAAGUACUGACGCUCAUGCACGAAAGCGUGGGGAGCAAACGGAUUAA